rnacentral:rRNA from 1 species
GCUUGAGUAUGUUUGAGGCAGGCGGAAUGCGUGGUGUAGCGGUGAAAUGCAUAGAUAUCACGCAGAACCCCGAUUGCGAAGGCAGCCUGCCAAGCCAUUACUGACGCUGAUGCACGAAAGCGUGGGGAUCAAACAGGAUUAGAUACCCUGGUAGUCCACGCAGUAAACGAUGAUCACUAGCUGUUUGCGAUACACUGUAAGCGGCACAGCGAAAGCGUUAAGUGAUCCACCUGGGGAGUACGCCGGCAACGGUGAAACUCAAAGGAAUUGACGGGGGCCCGCACAAGCGGAGGAACAUGUGGUUUAAUUCGAUGAUACGCGAGGAACCUUACCCGGGUUUGAACGCAUUCGGACCGAGGUGGAAACACCUUUUCUAGCAAUAGCCGUUUGCGAGGUGCUGCAUGGUUGUCGUCAGCUCGUGCCGUGAGGUGUCGGCUUAAGUGCCAUAACGAGCGCAACCCUUGCCACUAGUUACUAACAGGUUAGGCUGAGGACUCUGGUGGGACUGCCAGCGUGAGCUGCGAGGAAGGCGGGGAUGACGUCAAAUCAGCACGGCCCUUACAUCCGGGGCGACACACGUGUUACAAUGGCGUGGACAAAGGGAUGCCACCUGGCGACAGGGAGCGAAUCCCCAAACCACGUCUCAGUUCGGAUCGGAGUCUGCAACCCGACUCCGUGAAGCUGGAUUCGCUAGUAAUCGCGCAUCAGCCAUGGCGCGGUGAAUACGUUCCCAGGCCUUGUACACACCGCCCGUCAAGCCAUGGGAGCCGGGGGUACCUGAAGUCCGUAACCGAAAGGAUCGGCCUAGGGUAAAACU